UACAGAGGGUGCGAGCGUUGUUCGGAAUUAUUGGGCGUAAAGGGCGCGUAGGCGGUGCGGUAAGUCACCUGUGAAAUCUCCUGGCUCAACUGGGAGCUUGCAGGCGAAACUGCCGUGCUGGAGUGUGGGAGAGGUGCGUGGAAUUCCUGGUGUGGCGGUGAAAUGCGUAGAUAUCAGGAGGAACACCUGUGGCGAAAGCGGCGCACUGGACCACAACUGACGCUGAGGCGCGAAAGCUAGGGGAGCAAACAGG
rnacentral:rRNA from 1 species